rnacentral:rRNA from 1 species
AUACGGAGGGUGCAAGCGUUACUCGGAAUCACUGGGCGUAAAGCGCGCGCAGGCGGCUUGAUAAGUUGGAUGUGAAAGCCUACGGCUCAACCGUAGAACUGCAUCCAAAACUGUCAAGCUAGAGUGUGGGAGAGGAAGAUGGAAUUAGUUGUGUAGGGGUAAAAUCCGUAGAGAUAACUAGGAAUACCAAAAGCGAAGGCAAUCUUCUGGAACACUACUGAUGCUGAGGCGCGAAAGCGUGGGGAGCAAACGGGAGUAGAAACCCUAGUAGUCC